UUGGUUAAGUUAGAAAGGGCGCACGGUGGAUGCCUUGGCACUAGGAGCCGAAGAAGGACGGGACUAACACCGAUAUGCUUUGGGGAGCUGUACGUAAGCGUUGAUCCAGAGAUUUCCGAAUGGGGGAACCCACUAUCUUUAGUCGGAUAGUAUCCUUACGUGAAUACAUAGCGUGAGGAAGGCAGACCCAGGGAACUGAAACAUCUAAGUACCUGGAGGAAGAGAAAGAAAAAUCGAUUUCCUGAGUAGCGGCGAGCGAAACGGAAAGAGCCCAAACCAAGAAGCUUGCUUCUUGGGGUUGUAGGACACUCUAUACGGAGUUACAAAAGAAAGUUAUAAAUGAAGCGGUCUGGAAAGGCCCGCCAAAGACGGUAACAGCCCGGUAGUUGAAAUGGCUUUCCCUCCAGAGUGGAUCCUGAGUACGGCGGAACACGUGAAAUUCCGUCGGAAUCCGGGAGGACCAUCUCCCAAGGCUAAAUACUCCCUAGUGACCGAUAGUGAACCAGUACCGUGAGGGAAAGGUGAAAAGCACCCCGGAAGGGGAGUGAAACAGUUCCUGAAACCGUGUGCCUACAAGUAGUUAGAGCCCGUUAAUGGGUGAUAGCGUGCCUUUUGUAGAAUGAACCGGCGAGUUACGAUUUGUUGCAAGGUUAAGCGGAAAAAGCGGAGCCGUAGCGAAAGCGAGUCUGAAUAGGGCGCAUAAGUAACAGGUCGUAGACCCGAAACCAGGUGAUCUACCCAUGUCCAGGAUGAAGGUAAGGUAAUACUUACUGGAGGUCCGAACCCACGCACGUUGAAAAGUGCGGGGAUGAGGUGUGGGUAGCGGAGAAAUUCCAAUCGAACUUGGAGAUAGCUGGUUCUCUCCGAAAUAGCUUUAGGGCUAGCCUCGAGGUAAAGAGUCAUGGAGGUAGAGCACUGUUUGGACUAGGGGCCCUUCUCGGGUUACCGAAUUCAGAUAAACUCCGAAUGCCAUGUACUUAUACUCGGGAGUCAGACUGCGAGUGAUAAGAUCCGUAGUCGAAAGGGAAACAGCCCAGACCACCAGUUAAGGUCCCCAAAUAUAUGUUAAGUGGAAAAGGAUGUGGGGUUGCUUAGACAACCAGGAUGUUGGCUUAGAAGCAGCCACCAUUGAAAGAGUGCGUAAUAGCUCACUGGUCGAGUGACCCCGCGCCGAAAAUGUACCGGGGCUAAACAUAUUACCGAAACUGUGGAUGAACCUCUUUAGAGGUUCGUGGUAGGAGAGCGUUCUAAGGGCGGUGAAGUCAGACCGGAAGGACUGGUGGAGCGCUUAGAAGUGAGAAUGCCGGUAUGAGUAGCGAAAGAAGGGUGAGAAUCCCUUCCACCGAAUAUCUAAGGUUUCCUGAGGAAGGCUCGUCCGCUCAGGGUUAGUCGGGACCUAAGCCGAGGCCGAUAGGCGUAGGCGAUGGACAACAGGUAGAGAUUCCUGUACCAGUGCUAAUUGUUUAACCGAUGGGGUGACACAGAAGGAUAGGGAAUCGCACGAAUGGAAAUGUGCGUCCAAGCAGUGAGUGUGAGAAGUAGGCAAAUCCGCUUCUCGCGAAGCAUGAGCUGUGAUGGGGAAGGAAAUUAAGUACGGAAGUUCCUGAUUUCACGCUGUCAAGAAAAGCCUCUAGGAAGAGUAGUACUGCCCGUACCGCAAACCGACACAGGUAGAUGAGGAGAGAAUCCUAAGGUGAGCGAGAGAACUCUCGUUAAGGAACUCGGCAAAAUGACCCCGUAACUUCGGGAGAAGGGGUGCUCUAUUAGGGUGCAAGCCCGAGAGAGCCGCAGUGAAUAGGCCCAGGCGACUGUUUAGCAAAAACACAGGUCUCUGCAAAACCGUAAGGUGACGUAUAGGGGCUGACGCCUGCCCGGUGCUGGAAGGUUAAGAGGAGUGCUUAGCUUCGGCGAAGGUACGAAUUGAAGCCCCAGUAAACGGCGGCCGUAACUAUAACGGUCCUAAGGUAGCGAAAUUCCUUGUCGGGUAAGUUCCGACCCGCACGAAAGGCGCAACGAUCUGGGCACUGUCUCAACGAGAGACUCGGUGAAAUUAUAGUACCUGUGAAGAUGCAGGUUACCCGCGAC
rnacentral:rRNA from 1 species